AGUCUUGGAGUCUUUACAAAUUUGAAACUUGUUCUUGGAUAAAGGACAAUAAAUAGCAAAAUGUGCUGCUAGGGAGGAACUGAACAAUUUCUGAUGGAGCAGCACUUGGUUACAAUGGGAAGGAAAACUGCCUUUUAAAAGGAAGAAAUCUCAUACCUACGAGACUCGGGAAGAGGGGUUUCUGGCUCAGCUGGUUGGAGUGAAAAGAUUGCAAGGAGAAAAUAUGAACAGUGAGUAACAGACAGACAACCAACAAUACGACCCUAAAGACUGGACAGGUUAUAAAGAUUAUAGAACAUGCAGAGCAGUCACUGGCUUUUUCCACGCCCCUCAUCAUGAUCUAAAGGAAAAUAUGUGACCUAAUCUCAAAUACCCAGGAAAUCACUGCAACACUUAGACAGUAAUGUAGACUGUUUAUAGUUUCAUUGCUUUUAAAUGGUCAGCACAAAUGCAGCAGUGGAAAACCCAGUGAUCGUAUCUGUCCACAUCAGAAGAGGAAACGGCAGUCUGUUGGUCUUAGCUUCUCAUGAACAUCCAAUUUAACACUGUAGUUAUCCCCAAAGUCCAGCCGACACAGACUUCAAGCUAAAGUGCUUUUCUCUCUGGUGUUUGUGGCAAGUGAGCUUGUCUACUCAGGAAUGUUUGUUCUAGUGGUAUGCUGUCUCCUGUUAGCACUUUCAGCAACUUUGGCACUUGAUGUCAAUACUACUGUCGGGGACUCAGUGAUUCUUCAAUGUCGUAUGAACACUAGUCCUACUGACCCUAAGAAUCUACGCUUUUUCUGGCAAGAUGACAGAAAGGCAGUUUUGUACUCUAUGUACCAAGGAAGCAUCAUGGCAGAGCAUGUAGCUGGACUUUAUCAGCACAGGAUCACAGCCUUCCCAGAGGACAUGAAAACAGGAAAUAUUUCGAUCAUGCUUAAAAACGUGACUCUUAAGGAUAACGGGAGAAUUUUCCAGGCUUUUGCAGCCAUUUUUGAGAGUGGAGGGAGAUGGAGUCAGAGCGAGAUCUGCAAAAUGAACCUACAUGUCGCAGUCCCUUACAAGAACCUCAGUCUGGCUCUAAACGUUGACACAAGGACCGCAGUGUGCACUACACAAAGAGGAUUCCCUGCACCUUUGGUACAGUGGAAGCUGCAGUUCUCUAACAACUCCUACGAUUUUAUAGACUGGAAGGAUGCACACAACACAGCAAUUCAGGACCCUCAUGAUAGCCUCUACAGUUCCAACAGCACUAUAUAUAUUCCUAAAGGACCUUAUCAGUCUGUGACCUGUUUCAGCCACAACCCAACUAUAAGUACGACUUUGAAAGCCACCAGCAUUUUAAGCAAAGGUGCAGCAAUGUGGAGCCUUGCUGGCUGGGCUGAAGUCUUGAUAGUGGCUGCUCUCCUGUUAACCUGAGCUGUGGUUGUGUUGCACAUUAAAUAGUCAGACUGUGGUGGAAGAAGACUCCAGUGGGUUCUGAGUCUACUCUUGGGGUCCAGAAGGAUUCCUUGCCACAUACAAAAGUCAACUUGGCUGGCUUGUUUCAAUGUGAAAAAAAGUCCUCUGCUGUGCAAAAUACUACAGAGUCCAGAUAUGAUUUUGUCUGCAUAUUUGAAACUGUAAUCCACACCUAGAAAAAUUCAGCAUGUCAUAUCUAGGGUCAAACACUUUUAUCAGUUGUCUCUUUCAUUUAUUAAAAUGGUAUGGUCCAUUCUUACAAUAAUUCCUCUGUAAAUGUUGCUUCAUUUGAACAGAACACUGUAAUCUGUAAUCAUUCACUUUAUACAUUAGAAAACAAUAACAUGAUUCUCCAGAUGAAAUAUUUGGGUUUUUGCAGAAAAUACAACCAUUUAUUCAAAAUUGAAGGCACACUGAACCAGUGUGGCUACCACAGCAUCCUGCAGCGACAUGCCAACCCAUCCGGUUUGGGCUUAUUGGGACCGACUUUUAUUUUUCAACAGGACAAUGACCCCAAACAGGCUGUGUUUGGGCUAUUUGACCAAGAAGGAGAGGAAUGGAGUGCUGCGUGACAUGAUGUGGCCUCCACAGUCACCUGACCUCAACCCAAUCCAGAAUGAAGGCUAGAGGGUCAACAAAUGCUCAGCAUCUCAGGGAACUCCUUCAAGACUGUUGGAACACUAUUUCAGGUGACUACCUCAUGAAGCUCAUCGAGAGAGAAUGCCAAGAGUGUGCAAAGCAGUAAUCAACCCAAAAGGGGGCAACUGUGAAGAAUCUAAAAUGUGAAACAUAUUCUGAUUUGUGUGACAACCUAAUUCGAUAUGUGUUCUUUCAUAGUUUUGAUGUCUUCGCUAUGAAUUUGCAAUAUAGAAACUCAUUAAAAUAAAGAAAAAAAAUACUGAA